GACGAACGCUGGCGGCGUGCUUAACACAUGCAAGUCGAACGGAAAGGCCCUGCUUUUGUGGGGUGCUCGAGUGGCGAACGGGUGAGUAGCACGUGAGUAACCUGCCCUUGACUUUGGGAUAACUUCAGGAAACUGGGGCUAAUACCGGAUAGGAGCUCCUGCUGCAUGGUGGGGGUUGGAAAGUUUCGGCGGUUGGGGAUGGACUCGCGGCUUAUCAGCUUGUUGGUGGGGUAGUGGCUUACCAAGGCUUUGACGGGUAGCCGGCCUGAGAGGGUGACCGGCCACAUUGGGACUGAGAUACGGACCAGACUCCUACGGGAGGCAGGAGUGGGGAAUAUUGCACAAUGGGCGGAAGCCUGAUGCAGCAACGCCGCGUGCGGGAUGACGGCCUUCGGGUUGUAAACCGCUUUCGCCGGUGACGAAGCGUGAGUGACGGUAAUGGGUAAAGAAGCACCGGCUAACUACGUG
rnacentral:rRNA from 1 species